rnacentral:snRNA from 1 species
UCAGGAUAACCUAACCCUGAGCU